GGACUGAAUUCGGCUACCUUAACUGUCUCUGCUUGUUUUCCCAGGGCCCCAGACCGGAAAUGGAUUGUUUGAAGAUUCGGAUGCAUUCGCGCAGCCUCUUUCAUUUAUUUUUUCCUUAGGGCCGAGCUUUGAUUGUUUUCCUUACACAACUGGGAAUAUUGGAGUAACGCUGUAUUUUUCUCUUUUCCUGGAGUUGCCAGAUGAAAUACAGGAUGCCUGCCUAAGACAGAGUCUCACUCUUGUCACUCAGGCUGGAGUGCAGUGUUGCAAUCACAGCUUACUGCAGCCUCAAGCUCCUGGACAGGGAUCCUCCCGCUUCAGCCUCCCAAGUAGCUGGGACUAAGGCUACAUUCACAUAUCCUGGACUGUGACACAUCAGCAUUUGUUUCCCUUAGCCAGCCCAAACAAGUACAAAUUGAUGGAGUCUCAACCUGUCACCCAGGCUGGAGCGCAGUAGUGCCAUCUUGGCUCACCAAAACCUCAGCCUUCCGGGUUCAAGCGAUUCUCCUGCCUCAGCCUCCCUACUAGCUGGGACUACAGGUACACGCCACCACGCCCAGCUAAUUUUUGCAUUUUUAGUAG